rnacentral:rRNA from 1 species
AUUGAACGCUGGCGGCGGGCCUAACACAUGCAAGUCGAACGGUAGCACAGAGGAGCUUGCUCCUUGGGUGACGAGUGGCGGACGGGUGAGUAAUGUCUGGGAAACUGCCCGAUGGAGGGGGAUAACUACUGGAAACGGUAGCUAAUACCGCAUAACGUCGCAAGAACAAAGAGGGGGACCUUCGGGCCUCUUGCCAUCGGAUGUGCCCAGAUGGGAUUAGCUAGUAGGUGGGGUAACGGCUCACCUAGGCGACGAUCCCUAGCUGGUCUGAGAGGAUGACCAGCCACACUGGAACUGAGACACGGUCCAGACUCCUACGGGAGGCAGCAGUGGGGAAUAUUGCACAAUGGGCGCAAGCCUGAUGCAGCCAUGCCGCGUGUAUGAAGAAGGCCUUCGGGUUGUAAAGUACUUUCAGCGAGGAGGAAGGUGUUGUGGUUAAUAACCGCAGCAAUUGACGUUACUCGCAGAAGAAGCACCGGCUAACUCCGUGCCAGCAGCCGCCGUAA